CUUGCGGUGAGAACUGGGCAAGUCAUUCUCUAGGCUGGUUUCCUAGCUGUUAAGAGCUUGGACUAGAUCAUGACCAAAGGUCUUCUAGUUUCAAGAUUUUAGGAGUCUAUGAGCAUUAAAGUUCCAACCUUGCAUUGAAAUCCAGUAUUUAACUUUAUUGAGUAAGAAUUAUACUGCAUAUGUAUGUCCGAUGAAAAGCCAGUGAUGAAAAGGAGAAAAUGGUAUAAUCAAGAUGUCAGCAGUCUUGUUGGAGAAAAGGUGGUGAGACCCCAGGUUUUCCAGCCCUAUGGGUCACCUCUUAUUCAGUAUUUAAAUCAAAAGAAUCCCCAUCCUGCCUACAGUGGGAAAUCCACUGUCCCCACCAACAUGCCCCAGUAUUCUUGGAGGGUUUUAGUGGCUUUUCUAACCACCUUUUGAUAUGAUUUUCUGACUCCUUUUAAUUCAGUCUCUCAUCUCACCUUAUUCAGCUCUCUCUUCUUUUAUCAUGCAUUGAAUCUAAAUGUGGAACAGCAUUCAUUUUCAUUGAUAUUUUCCCUCAAACUAUACAAUCUUAAGGUAAUUACGUGCAGUCGACCAUCACUGAAGUGUUAGGGUUAACAUGGAGGGUCUCCAUCACAGCUUAGCCCAGUGGGUUACUUGUGGAAUGUACUAGACACUCUGGUUCUUAGAAGUGCUUGGCCACUCUCACUGUUGCAAAGUUCCAAACAGGCUGAUCCCUCUUACAUCUGCCCUCCCACCCCUCCAGAAGCUCCAGACUCCUCCUACUUUAUAAAACAUAAAAGUUUAGCUUUGUUUCUCAACCAGACCAUUGGAGUGUUUCUUUUCACAGUUAAUGAAGAUUCCAAUGGCUAUGUCUAAAGAAAGACAUUUCUCUCCCUCGGAGGAAUUCUGCCUCCAGCUUACGUGUAUUUUUUCCUUCUGGCAAAGUAGGAUGGAGAGGUAGGGAGAAGUGGAGUAGGAAGACGUGGAGAUGGCUCAGGAAGAGGAUGCAGGGAAAGGGAGCUGGUGUGCGAGCUGCCCGUCACCCGCAGUACCCUGUGCCGAGGGUUUUACAAGUAUCACCCCAGCUAAUGGUGAAAACAAGCUGAUAAAGUCGAUUUUUUUCUACCUUGUAAAUGGGAGGGAGCCAGAGCAGAGAGAGUGAGUCUUAUAUCUCAUUCCAAAUAAUACUUAAAAGAGAAAUACCUCAUCUGGAUGAAAAUAGCUAUUGAAGUGAAAACUGCUUUGAAAGGCAAAACUCCUGAGGUCAGAUCUGUCUCUCUGACUGAAGGGAAGGAAAUGAACGGAACCCCUUGAAGCAAAGUUGUGUAUUUCCAUUCAGAAGAGGAACAUUCUACCUCUCUCUUGUGAGAGCGGUGGAUUCCUGGUCCCUGAAAGCAUUGGAACAUGGG
rnacentral:lncRNA from 1 species